GAUGAACGCUGGCGGCGUGCCUAAUACAUGCAAGUCGAACGGGGAGUCGCAAUACUCUUAGUGGCGAACGGGUGAGUAACGCGUUGGUACCUGCCCCGAAGCGGGGGAUAACGGACCGAAAGGUCCGCUAAUACCCCAUGUGCUCGGUAACGAGUAAAGGUGAAAACCACUUUGGGAGGGGCCUGCGUCCCAUCAGCUAGUUGGUAAGGUAACGGCUUACCAAGGCGAUGACGGGUAGGGGACCUGAGAGGGUGGCCCCCCACAAUGGAACUGAAACACGGUCCAUACACCUACGGGUGGGAGCAGUAGGGAAUAUUGGUAAUGGGCGCAAGCCUGAACCAGCAACGCCGCGUGUGCGAUGACGGCCUUCGGGUUGUAAAGCACUUUUGACUGGGACGAGGAAGGACGGUACCGGUCGAAUCAGCCUCGGCUAACUACGUG
rnacentral:rRNA from 1 species